rnacentral:rRNA from 1 species
AUACGAAGGGUGCAAGCGUUACUCGGAAUUACUGGGCGUAAAGCGUGCGUAGGUGGUUGUUUAAGUCUGUCGUGAAAGCCCUGGGCUCAACCUGGGAACUGCGAUGGAAACUGGGCGACUAGAGUGUGGUAGAGGGUAGCGGAAUUCCUGGUGUAGCAGUGAAAUGCGUAGAUAUCAGGAGGAACAUCCAUGGCGAAGGCAGCUACCUGGGCCAACACUGACACUGAGGCACGAAAGCGUGGGGAGC